ACGGUCCUAAGGUAGCGAAAUUCCUUGUCGGGUAAGUUCCGACCUGCACGAAUGGCGUAACGACUUCCCCACUGUCUCGACCAGGAGCUCGGCGAAAUUGCAGUACGAGUAAAGAUGCUCGUUAAGCGCAGAAGGACGAAAAGACCCCGGGACCUUUACUAUACCUUGGUAUUGGCGUUAGGCGCGGAUUGUGUAGCAUAGGCGGGAGGCUUCGAAGCGUGGGCGCCAGCUCAUGUGGAGCCGCAAGGUGAAAUACCGCUCUGUUCUCGUUUGACGUCUAACCUCGACAAGUCAUCCUUGUCAGGGACAGUGCCUGGCGGGUAGUUCAACUGGGGCGGUUGCCUCCCAAAGAGUAACGGAGGCGCUCAAAGGUCCGCUCAGCCCGGUUGGCAAUCGGGUGUCGAGUGUAAUCGCACAAGCGGGCUUGACUGCGAGGACGACGGUCCGAGCAGGGACGAAAGUCGGAGAUAGUGAUCCGGUGCCGGCGCACGGGCGCGGCAUCGCUCAACGGAUAAAAGGUACCCCGGGGAUAACAGGCUGAUCAUUCCCAAGAGUCCAUAUCGACGGGAUGGUUUGGCACCUCGAUGUCGGCUCGUCGCAUCCUGGGGCUGGAGCAGGUCCCAAGGGUUCGGCUGUUCGCCGAUUAAAGCGGCACGCGAGCUGGGUUCAGAACGUCGUGAGACAGUUUGGUCUCUAUCCUCUGCGCUCGUUGGAAUCCUGAGGAGGCCUGCCCAUAGUACGAGAGGACCUGGGUGGACGAACCUCUGGUAUGCCGGUUGUCGCGCCAGCGGCACGGCCGGUUGGCUACGUUCGGGAGGGAUAACCGCUGAAAGCAUCUAAGCGGGAAGCCUGCUCCAAGAUUAGGAUUCCGUACGGUCUUGAACCGUUGUAGCCCGCAUGUUGAACACGUGUUUGAUAGGCCGGAGGUGGAAGUCCCGUGAGGGGUGGAGCCGACCGGUACUAACGGGCGAUGGCGACACAAC
rnacentral:rRNA from 1 species